rnacentral:rRNA from 1 species
GACGAACGCUGGCGGCGUGCUUAACACAUGCAAGUCGAGCGGAGCGGCGAACGGGUGAGUAACGCGUGAGUAACUGCCCCCCUCUCUGGGAUAACAGUUGGAAACGGUUGCUAAUACCGGAUAGUGGGGGAUGACUCGCGUCCUAUCAGCUUGUUGGGGGGGUAGUGGCCUACCAAGGCGAGGACGGGUAGCCGGCCUGAGAGGGCGACAGGCCACAUUGGGCGGAGUUACGGCCCAAACUCCUACGGGGGGCAGCAGUGGGGGAUAUUGCACAAUGGGCGAAAGCCUGAUGCAGCGACGCCGCGUGGGGGAUGAAGGCUUUCGGGUUGUAAACCUCUUUCGCUAUCGAACGGGUAGGUGGAGAAGAAGCGCCGGCUAACUACGUGCCAGCAGCCGCGGUAAUUC